GGGUCCGGAGGUAGCGUUUCACUAUUUCCGGAGGACAGAGGAUGGUCGGGCCGCCAUCC
rnacentral:ncRNA from 1 species